rnacentral:ncRNA from 2 species
UUUAGUGUCGGCGAUGGAGUUCGCCGUUAACUGUCCUUUUAAGUGGCUGAUGACUCCUACCACCCC